rnacentral:rRNA from 1 species
GUGUCAGCCGCCGCGGUAAUACGGAGGAUGCAAGCGUUAUCCGGAAUGAUUGGGCGUAAAGCGUCCGCAGGUGGUACAACAAGUCUAGUGUCAAAGACCGGGGCUCAACUCCGGAAAGGCGGUGGAAACUGUUGAACUAGAGGGUCGUAGGGGUAGAGGGAAUUCCCAGUGUAGCGGUGAAAUGCGUAGAGAUUGGGAAGAACAUCGGUGGCGAAGGCGCUCUACUGGACGGCAACUGACACUCAGGGACGAAAGCUAGGGGAGCGAAUGGGAUUAGAUACCCCUGUAGUCC